GACGAACGCUGGCGGCGUGCUUAACACAUGCAAGUCGAGCGGUAAGGCCCUUUCGGGGGUACACGAGCGGCGAACGGGUGAGUAACACGUGGGUGACCUGCCCUCAGCUCUGGGAUAAGCCUGGGAAACCGGGUCUAAUACCGGAUAUGACUCAAUGACGCAUGUUGUGGGGUGGAAAGCCUUGUGCGGCUGAGGAUGGGCCCGCGGCCUAUCAGCUUGUUGGUGGGGUGAUGGCCUACCAAGGCGACGACGGGUAGCCGGCCUGAGAGGGCGACCGGCCACACUGGGACUGAGACACGGCCCAGACUCCUACGGGAGGCAGCAGUGGGGAAUCUUGCGCAAUGGGCGAAAGCCUGACGCAGCGACGCCGCGUGAGGGAUGACGGCCU
rnacentral:rRNA from 1 species